rnacentral:lncRNA from 1 species
AAAAUAGAAGGCAUGGGAAUGCCAUGGUCCCCAAGACACUGAAGCAACUACUUGGCUUUUUCAGUUUUGUUUUGUUUUGUUUUGUUUUUUGUAGACUAAUAUCAUAAGAUACCACAGUAUCAAAUGUGGAGAAUGGGUGGGAGUCUUGCAGGGGUAACAGAGUGAAGAUCAAGUUUAGACUGAUUUUUCCCCCUCAAAGGUUUUUCCUUUUUCUCUCUAGUGACAUAAAUUUUCAUUUUGUGCAAAGUGGGGAAGAAUGAAGUUGGCAGGAGAUUAUCAAUUUUGGAAUUAAGAAUUCACCUGUCUUAGGAGCUAAUAGAAAAGAUGGUGGCUUAAAUGCAAUGCCAAUAACACGUAAAAUAAUUAAUAAACUAAGAAAAGAAGGGGAUUGACUAACUUUCUCAAGAUAUUGACGAAUCAGCAGGCAGCAUCAUACCUCACGAUGAAGGACUAAAGAUGAUUCUCCUAAAACCACAAUCAAAGAAAAGCCUACCAAGAGGUGAGAAGCUUUGCUCCUCUGGGUACUGUCACUAAGUGGAUCUUCUUCAACCCCAGCUGGGUCAAACAAGUACACAUUGCCAUCCUGGAAACAGUGACACACACACACACAACACACACACACACACACACACACACACACACACACACACACACACACACACACACUACCCAUGUGCUCUGUGUAAAUUAGGUUGUCCUUCAGGACUGUUCUGUAUUCUGCUUUCCAUUCCCUAAAAGAAAUAUACUUUCCUUUUGUUUGACUCAG